GUGUGUAGUGAUACAGUGAGUCGUUCAGGAGUCUAUUGCUCAGUGAGUAUUGCUCUAGAACAGUGUAAGGCAGAAGGUGUAGUGGAUGUGUUUCAAGUGACUAAAGCUAUAAGAAGGAGUAAACCAGGAGCUGUUACUAGACUGGAGCAGUAUACCUCCAUAUAUGAUGUAAUUGAUAUGUACUUCAAACUGCACAGUACAUAUGCUAACUUUCAGUAGAUAUAGCAGACUAUAUAAUAUGAUUGCUGACAUUAUAAACAUACUUGUAGAAAUUAUUGUUAUUAUAUGUAUGUCUGCAGUAUUUGUAAAUGUCAAACAGUUGAUAGUUGCCUGUUUAAUCAGCA